rnacentral:lncRNA from 1 species
GCCGUCAAUGCAAGUAAGGGCUGAUUAACCUACUUAUCAAUCAAACCAAGCAAGGGCUCUCCUCUUCAACAGAAGUAAUGGGUUGUUCUUCUUGUAGGGAAGCAGAGGCUGGAAAGCUAAGCUAUUUCUUUUUCUUGGACUUGAGGGAGAGUACUGGCAUCCAACCUGUUUCCUAUAAUCUGGUAUCUGCUUCUUCUGCUUUUCCCGGCUCUAGUGCUUGAUCUAUCUUACCUUCCUCUUUCUUUCUUUCUUUAUUGUUCAAUUCGUUUUAUUGCUUUGCUAGCAUUCCAAAGAUUACCCCACGACCCACUACCUUCUUGCUCAAUGAUAAUUGGCAUGAAUUUAUGAUUGG